GUCCACGCUGUAAACGAUGAGUGCUAGACGUUGCGGGUAUUGACCCCUGCGGUGUCGAAGCUAACGCGUUAAGCACUCCGCCUGGGGAGUACGGUCGCAAGAUUAAAACUCAAAGGAAUUGACGGGGGCCCCGCACAAGCGGUGGAGCAUGUGGUUUAAUUCGACGCAACGCGAAGAACCUUACCUGGGUUUGAAUUGCAGUGGACCGGUGCAGAGAUGCAUCUUUCCUUCGGGACUGCUGUGAAGGUGCUGCAUGGCUGUCGU
rnacentral:rRNA from 1 species